CCUACGGGAGGCAGCAGUGAGGAAUAUUGGUCAAUGGACGCAAGUCUGAACCAGCCAUGCCGCGUGCAGGAAGAAGGCUCUAUGAGUUGUAAACUGCUUUUUUACGGGGGUAAAGGUAUAUACGUGUAUCUGUUUGCAUGUAUCGUACGAAUAAGGAUCGGCUAACUCCGUGCCAGCAGCCGCGGUAAGACGGAGGAUGCAAGCGUUAUCCGGAUUUAUUUGGUUUAAAGGGUGCGUAGGUGGUCGGAUAAGUUAGAGGUGAAAUUCCGAGGCUCAACUUCAGAAUUGCCGCUGAUACUGGUAGGCUAGAGAGUAGUGGCGGUAGGCGGAAUGUAUGGUGUAGCGGUGAAAUGCUUAGAGAUCAUACAGAACACCGAUUGCGAAGGCAGCUUACCAAGCUACUUCUGACGCUGAGGCACGAAAGCGUGGGGAGCAAACAGGAUUAGAUACCCGAGUAGUC
rnacentral:rRNA from 1 species